rnacentral:rRNA from 1 species
GAUGAACGCUGGCGGCGUGCUUAACACAUGCAAGUCGAACGGAAAGGCUCCUGCUUGCCGGGGUACUCGAGUGGCGAACGGGUGAGUAACACGUGGGUGAUCUGCCCUGCACUUCGGGAUAAGCCUGGGAAACUGGGUCUAAUACCGGAUAGGACCACAUUUUGGAUGGUGUGGUGGAAAGUUUUUCGGUGUGGGAUGAGCUCGCGGCCUAUCAGCUUGUUGGUGGGGUAAUGGCCUACCAAGGCGUCGACGGGUAGCCGGCUUGAGAGGGUGUACGGCCACAUUGGGACUGAGAUACGGCCCAGACUCCUACGGGAGGCAGCAGUGGGGAAUAUUGCACAAUGGGCGCAAGCCUGAUGCAGCGACGCCGCGUGGGGGAUGACGGCCUUCGGGUUGUAAACUCCUUUCGCUAGGGACGAAGCGCAAGUGACGGUACCUGGAGAAGAAGCACCGGCUAACUACGUG